GCGUUUCAGGAAUUAUUUCUUCUAGAUCUGAAUUUAUUUCAAGCUAGCCAUAAAAUGCUUUCCAAUAGGGGCUGUGAUCACGAACUUCCGCCUUUAACCAAGGCAAACAACAGACUCAGUUUUCCAUGCCUUCUUCAUUACAGUAGUAAAAGCUUGGAAGUUUACAUUUGGCUUGGAGAACAACUUCCCAAAUAGAGAUGUCGCCUAUUCUCUUUGCCUGCGCUGAGUUGAGUUUGGGUCGUUGUCCUUCACUGGAUUGAAUAUGUUGAAGACUGGGUCGUUGCACUUUGCUUCCUAUUGUUUUCGGAUUUGCUGAUUCCGUGUAUGUUUUGGGGUAAAUGGGUGGAGAUUUGGGGUUAGAUUGAAGGGGGCUCUGUGAAUGUGUAGUAGGUUGGCUUGGGAUUACUGUGCGAUCAACUGGGGAGGGACUUAGGGUUUACGGUACCGUGGACAGGGGAGAAAGUAAUGUGGUGGUUGUUCGUGAGUGGGUUCAUGGUGUCAUUGAUGGGAGGAAAGAAGGUUUGGGAUUAGGGUUUGUGUACCAGAUCUGGAGUGCCCGCAUAUCCAUCGGGGAGGAGCAGCAAAGCCAGCAUCAUGGGGGUUUUAGGGUUCCAACAGUGCAAUCGGCCAUUUGAGGGAAAAGGGGAAAGCUCUACCCUGGGUAGAGAGAAAAGCUCUCUGCGC